CCCCCCAGGGCCACUCUGCGGAAACUCAAAGCUCAGAGCGCGUCCCAGAGCUGGGAGGACACCUGGGACGGGACCCACAUCGUGGCCUUCGCCGCGGGGAUGAUCCCGACGGGUUCGAGUUCCUGGAGAUCCUGAGGGAGGUGGCCCAGGAGAGGAGGGACGAUCCCGACUUCCACAUCCUCUGGAUCGACCCCGAUGAUUUCCUUCCCCGCUGGUACCGGGGGGGGGGACGGGGACAAUGGCACCCGAGACCCCCCCGGACGGGCUCUGACCCCUCAUCCGGGGGUGUCACACAUCUGUCCCCAUCCGGGGGUGUCACACCUCUGUCCCUUCUGUCCCCUCACCCAGGGGUGUCAACCUCUCUGUCCCCUCAUCCGGGGUGUCACCCCUCUGUCCCCAUCCGGGGGUGUCACCCCUCUGUCCCCAUCCGGGGGUGGUCACCCCUCUGACCCCUCUGACACCAUCCGGAGGGGUGUCACCCCUCUGUCCCCUCACCCAGGGGUGUCACCCCUCUGUCCCCUCUGUCCCCCCCCAGCUCGUCCCCUCCUGGGAGGACACCUUUGACAUCGACCUGUCCCGGCCCCAGCUGGGCGUACUCAAUGGCACUGACUACGCCAGCAGCGUGUGGCUGGACACGGAGGAUGAGGAGGAUCUGCCGGGGCCGGAGGAGGUGCUGGAGUGGCUGCAGGAGGUUCUGGACGGGGACACCGGGGACAGCGACGACGAUGACGACGAUGACGGUGAAGAUGAA